GUUAGUCAGUUGAAAGAAGAGAAACUAGCGAGAGACACUAGUAUUGUCAGUCAGUCCAGAAAAUCUCAUGGUAAGAAUAAUAUUAAGAUAUCAGACUGUAACCUCUCUCAUGAGAUAUCAUUUCUCCCUUGUACUGAGGACAGCACUGAGCAAUCUCAGGAAGUAGGUGAAUUUGAGGUAAUAAUGAACAUUAGAAGAUUAUUU